GAGAUUAAAACUAAUUCUUUUAAAGUCACUACUCAGCUGAAAUUUGGCCUGAUUAUAAAUGUUGAUAAUAAUUUCUUCCUGGCUCAACAAAGUUGUUGAGCUUCCUUCUGUGCACACAUUGAAAGAAAACCAGAAAUUGUACAGUCGUGAUAUGAAUUAGAGAAGGAACAGGUGGAAAAGGAUGGCAACACACAGAGUCCGGGGGACACACGGCCUUAAGAUGAAGUGAACGAGUAGACACUGAAUAGGAUCCACGUAAAUGAACGGCCAUUUCAAAUCAUUCACAUCCCAAACGGAGGUUCAUCUGUCUUCUGGUUGGUGAAUUAUAUUUAUUAGGAUCUUAUUUUUAGCAUUUCAUUACAAGUAAUAGGUUUGGGUACCUUAUUUUUAUUGUUUUUACUCAUCAGUUAUGAAUAAGGCAUACCUUAGAAACUUGGGUUAAAUUUUUUCAAGUUAUACCAGUCAACUUGGUUUAAAUACAACUGUACUAACUUGCUUUAUCAUGUUUCCUGUUUAAUUGGAUGAGAAUUACAUGCACUUAUUCAGUUGUUCUUUGUGUUUAUAGGAAAAACUCUGUUCUCAGCUACCUCAUUAUGUAGUAUUGUGCUUGAUCCCCUGCCAAUUGAGAAGAAUUCAACACAUUCUGUUCUUUAACAAAAGCUUGGAAGCAGGCAGUCAGAGGCCUUGAGGAAUACAAUUCUCUAAGGCCUGUUUUCCAUUUUACUACUUAAAAAACCAGAGGCCCUCAGGGCUCCCCCUCCAAGCCGGGAGGGCAGGCAGGCACAGGCCCCGCUCACUACCUCAGCACCCAGUGCAGCCCCAGGCUCCCGGACGUGCUCGGCCCGGUGGCCUCUUGUGUGACAGGCCCUCUGCCAUGUCUGUCCGCAGAGCCGGGUGGGGACCCUCCGUGUGGGUCCUCCUCUGUCCCUUUGCAGCUCGCAUUCGCCAGAGCGGAGCGCAGCCCUUGUUUCCUUCUUUCCUCUUCAGCUCUGACUUAAAAACACACUAUGUUCCAAAUCGUUGUGGGAUCGGAAACUAGAACUGCUUGUUUCCAGGAGAGACCACCUUUUCAUAUUUUUUUUAAAAGGAAUUUGUGCUUCAAAAGAAACUCCAAAAAAUAAAUUUAUUGUUAGUCUAGCAUAUGCUCAUUGAAAUUGACUUAUGUUUUAUUUUAAAAAAUCAUGUAGGAUCUGGUACAUGGGGCGGGCAAAAGGGUAUCAUCAGCUUAAGAAGUAAAGAAGUGAGCCUUCCAUUUGUGUGGGUGAUAACAUCUUUUUCCUAGAUCGUACCUCAAAAUUCAGGCUCUCCAUGAAAACAAAGAUAAUCUGAAUAAAAAUUGUGUGUUGGGAAAUGUAUCAAGUGACCUUCAGUUAAGAAAAGCACAGGCUGUUUAUUAGCACAACUUGCUUCAUUAAAUAAUUCGUGGCUUUUUCUGCCACUGGGGUUCUUUUCGUUUUGAAUUCAGCUUGUGUUUGGUUCCUCGGUCUUGUACCCCUUCAGUUCGCCGGCGACGUAAUGGUGAUACCCUUUGUUUUUUGUAUCAUACCUUUUGUGAAUUGUGACAACCAUCCCGUAAUCAUUGUGGCCUCAGCAGAAGUUUUGAACAAUCUUUGCAGCCACUGUUGGGGUGUGUACCAGCAGCCUGGAAGUGACCAGCAGAGCUGACAAAAGCACCCCCUGCUCUGCCCACCUCCGCAGAGUCCUGUCCUCAUCAGAAACGGUAUCGCGGAUGCUCC
rnacentral:lncRNA from 1 species